GUGCUCACUUUGGUAGCCCAUACACUAAAAUUGGAAUGAUUCAGAGAAAACACACAUGGGCCCUUGUACAAGGAAGACAUGCAAAGCCAUACAGCAACAUGUAUUU